GAUGAACGCUGGCGGCGUGCCUAAUACAUGCAAGUCGAGCGAACAGACGAGGAGCUUGCUCCUCUGACGUUAGCGGCGGACGGGUGAGUAACACGUGGAUAACCUACCUAUAAGACUGGGAUAACUUCGGGAAACCGGAGCUAAUACCGGAUAAUAUAUUGAACCGCAUGGUUCAAUAGUGAAAGACGGUUUUGCUGUCACUUAUAGAUGGAUCCGCGCCGCAUUAGCUAGUUGGUAAGGUAACGGCUUACCAAGGCAACGAUCCGUAGCCGACCUGAGAGGGUGAUCGGCCACACUGGAACUGAGACACGGUCCAGACUCCUACGGGAGGCAGCAGUAGGGAAUCUUCGGCAAUGGGCGAAAGCUUGACGGAGCAACGCCGCGUGAGUGAUGAAGGUCUUCGGAUCGUAAAACUCUGUUAUUAGGGAAGAACAAAUGUGUAAGUAACUAUGCACGUCUUGACGGUACCUAAUCAGAAAGCCACGGCUAACUACGUG
rnacentral:rRNA from 1 species